rnacentral:rRNA from 1 species
CCUUAGGGACUUUAUCUAAGGUUAAACCUGCCCAAUGUAACAUAUAUGAAUGGCCGCGGUACUUUGACCGUGCUAAGGUAGCGCAAUCAAUUGGCUUUUAAUUGAAGCCAUGUAUGAAUGGAAUCACGGGGUUUAGCUGUCUCUUAACUAAUUUAUCGAAAUUACUAUUUAGGUGAAAAAGCCUAAGAAAAGAAGAAGGACGAGAAGACCCUUAGAGUUUUACUAAAACUAAAAAUAUUUUUAAGACAGUUUAGUUGGGGCAACAUAGGAGCAAUAAGUUAACCUCCUGUAACAGACUAACCGAUACUAAUAAAAAUGAAUAAACUACCUUAGGGAUAACAGCAUAAUUUUAUAAAUAAGUUUGUGACCUCGAUGUUGGACUAGGAAACUUAGAGGCUAGCCGCCUCUUAGGAAAGUUCUGUUCGAACUAUUAUUCCU